CAGAAGAAAAUGGGCAACCGGGGAUCAGAUGUGAUUCAGCACCAGACACGCUUCCACUUCUCCUGGACCUGUUCGCUGCCUACUCUCCCUAGAUUCCACAACUCCUCCCCUUCUCCUGCACCUCAGCCAUGGGAGAUCUCUGCCCUUCCCAUCUGCAAACUGUCUCACCAGCCGCUUCUCCUUUGCCAAUUCGGGCUGGAUUCCUCUUGUUUCAGCUGCUCCCUCUAUUUCCUCCUGGACAAGGAUCAGGACACAUCUUCCUAUUCUGCCACCAUUUUGUCCAUCCUGAAGACUACUAAUUUUAAUAAAUGAAUUCAGAAAUG